rnacentral:tRNA from 1 species
GGGAUGGUGGCUCAGUGGUAGAGUGCUUGCCUUGCAUGCAUGAGGCCCUGGGUUCAAUUCCUCAGCACCUCA